AGGUUGGUAAGCACGUCGAGCUUUGUGUGGGGGCUCGUUAAUCUCAACGCUCAAACAAUUAAAUGGCAAUAAUAGCUACGCACUCGCUGCUUAAUUAACCGAGUUAAUUGGCUUAAUUUCUGCGCCCAAGGCUGGUGCGGAAACGAGUACUCCGCCACACCCUCCCGCUUCUUGUGGGCGUGGCACACGGAGUAUCAUCAAUGAGAAGAUAGCCCGAGGGGUGUUCCGACCAUAGGGCGAAACCAAACCGGAACUGGGGCUGUGAUUUGGUUGCCACCCACCGCAUUGCAGCAGGAGGAUUAAGCAGUGGAUAAGCGUGUAGAAAACUUUCAGGCAGACUGUUUGGACGGGGGUUCGACUCCCCCCAGCUCCACAG
rnacentral:tmRNA from 1 species